rnacentral:rRNA from 1 species
CGAAAGCCUGACGGAGCAAUACCGCGUGAGGGAGGAAGGCUCUUGGGUCGUAAACCUCUUUUCUCAGGGAAGAAAAAAAUGACGGUACCUGAGGAAUAAGCAUCGGCUAACUCCGUGCCAGCAGCCGCGGUAAUACGGAGGAUGCAAGCGUUAUCCGGAAUGAUUGGGCGUAAAGCGUCCGCAGGUGGCCAUGUAAGUCUGCUGUUAAAGAGUCAUGCUUAACAUGAUAAAAGCAGUGGAAACUACAGAGCUAGAGUACGUGCGGGGCAGAGGGAAUUCCUGGUGUAGCGGUGAAAUGCGUAGAUAUCAGGAAGAACACCGGUGGCGAAAGCGCUCUGCUAGGCCGUAACUGACACUGAGGGACGAAAGCUAGGGGAGC